rnacentral:rRNA from 1 species
GAUGAACGCUGGCGGCGUGCCUAAUACAUGCAAGUCGAGCGCCCCUUUAAGAGGUGACAAUCGUUCGAUUGUCGGUUCCUAUGGGGAGCGGCGGACGGCUGAGUAACGCGUGGGAACGUGCCCCAAAGUGAGGGAUAAGCACCGGAAACGGUGUCUAAUACCGCAUAUGAUCUUCGGAUUAAAGCUUUAUGCGCUUUGGGAGCGGCCUGCGUCCGAUUAGAUUGUUGGUAGGGUAAUGGCCUACCAAGUCGACGAUCGGUAGUUGGUCUGAGAGGAUGACCAGCCAGACUGGAACUGAGACACGGUCCAGACUCCUACGGGAGGCAGCAGUAAGGAAUCUUCCACAAUGGGGGCAACCCUGAUGGAGCAACGCCGCGUGCAGGACGAAGGCCUUCGGGUCGUAAACUGCUUUUAUGAGUGAAGAAUAUGACGGUAACUCAUGAAUAAGGGUCGGCUAACUACGUGCCAGCAGCCGCCGUAAUAC